UGCUCCCUUCUCCAGAGCAUUAUUUCAUACACGUUAUCAUGUCCUUUCUUAUUAAUCUCCUUUCCUAAGGUAAAUGAGCUGAGUCUUUUUGGUCUCUCUUCAUAUGAGUUUUUUCCAUGCUCUAGUCAUUCUCUAUUCUAUUCUAUAGAGGAUCUUAUAUCAUGUUAAUCACUCCAGUAUCUGAGCGCCUUCCAGUAGUGCAUUAAACAAUGUGACUACACAUCUGUCAUGGGGUGUUGGUUCUCUCAGCCCCUCCCUACGGAGAGAAGAGCUCAGGAAAUCUUUGAGAUAUCCUGGGCCCAGGGCACUGAAUACCUUGGAGAUCAGGACCAAGACCUUGAAUUUGAUUUGAAAUUCUCUGGAAAGCCAGUGUAGAAAGCAGAGGACAGGUUUCGUGUGUUUGCAGUAGUCUGUGGUGCUGUGGAGAUAUGCAAUAGUUUCUGUACAGGUUGGAAUUUCUUAAAUGCUGAAGGCUUCAUGUUCUGGUAUAUCACAUCACUGUAGUUCAGCUAAGAGGUCACAAAGACGUGAAUAACUGAAGCCAGGUCAUUGUCCGCUAGGAUGGGACAGAGCCUUCUUGCCAACCCAAGAUGGCAGAAGGCAUUACUCGUGGCUGUUACUGUGAGAUCUCAGCAUCAGCAAAGCAUCCAAGAAUACUCCUAAGCUAUGGAUCUAAUGGAAUAAUUGUGGAUGUGUACCUUCAACCAAAGGGAAUUGCACCACUUUUCUCUGAACCAGCCCCCCUAAUUCUGCAAUAGCCUUUUUGAGAUGAGAUGGCCAGUGCUGCACACAUUCCAGCUGACAACAUAGCACUGAUUUACAUAAUGGCACUAUAAUAUUUUCCAUAUUAAUCUCUGUUCCAUUCCUUCUGCAGCCUAACACCUUUGCUAUUUUGACUGCAACUGCACAUUGAACAGAGGCCUUAACUUAGCCUACAGUACUGCCCAGGUCCCUUUUGUAAACUGAUGCUCUGAGUUUACACCCCUGCAAUGUGUUAGAGUAGUGCAUGUUUUUCCCUCCAGUGUGCAUUACUUUGCAUUUACCAUAAUUGAACAUAAUGUUGCCCAUUUACCUGGGUUGAAAUUUUUCCUACCCACGGCUCACCCCCCAUUCCAGAUCAUACAUAAAUACAGUCAACAACACUGGACCUAGAAAAGAUUCUUGAGAUCCUGCUAUUAACUUUUUGCCAAGAUUAAAGUUGACCAUUUAAUGCU